AUUGGGAUACGAUAAAUAAUUGAAAGAAAAGCAACUUAGCAAUUUUAAUACAUUGUUCAAGGUCACUCAGAGUUUUCUCUCUUCAACGUCCUGUGGACUCUAAGCGAGCUGGGUAUAUAAUUGUCAUCACUGUGACCAUAUCUAUUCUUGUUAAAGUAAUCAAUCGGGGAUGAGUAGUGGCAUUGUUUCUGUUUUGGCAAAUAAAAAAAAUU